rfam:TPA: Bos taurus chromosome 15, whole genome shotgun sequence.
UCCCUGGUGGUCCAGUGGUUAAGGCUUUGCCUUCCAAAUGCAGGGGGUACAGGUUCGAUCCCUGGUCAGGGAG